rnacentral:misc_RNA from 1 species
AAGUCGUAACAAGGUUUCCGUAGGUGAACCUGCGGAAGGAUCAUUAACACGUAUCCAACGUAAAAAACCCCCCUGUGAAACCUGCUCUUGUAGCCCAGUGCGAUCCAGCAAUCCCGGUAAAUCAUUGUCGAACAGUAUUGAUUCGGGACUUCUGACAAAUGAGAAGUUACAGUUAAGGUUGAGCGGAGCUAGCUGCAUGGCAUCCCGAAGCAGUCAGUGUCUGAAAGUGUCAUUGAUUGUCUAAGGAUCUCGCCUCAACGAUUGCCAGAGGUCGCUCACCGACCCCACGCCCCUUUACAACCCCAUUACCUCUGUGAGUCGCGGGAAACUAGCGGCUAAAAAACCUCGAACAACUGUUAACAAUGGAUAUCUUGGUUCUC